rnacentral:rRNA from 1 species
GAUCUUGGUCAGGAUGAACGCUAGCUACAGGCUUAACACAUGCAAGUCGAGGGGCAUCAGGGUCUGUGCUGCACAGAUGCUGGCGACCGGCGCACGGGUGAGUAACGCGUAUCCAACCUUCCCCUUAGUAGAGGAUAGCCCGGCGAAAGUCGGAUUAAUACUCUAUGUUGUUCAAUGCGGACAUCUAAGUUGAACCAAAGGUUUACCGCUAAGGGAUGGGGAUGCGUCUGAUUAGGUAGUAGGCGGGGUAACGGCCCACCUAGCCAACGAUCAGUAGGGGUUCUGAGAGGAAGGUCCCCCACAUUGGAACUGAGACACGGUCCAAACUCCUACGGGAGGCGGCAGUGAGGAAUAUUGGUCAAUGGACGAGAGUCUGAACCAGCCAAGUAGCGUGCAGGAUGACGGCCCUAUGGGUUGUAAACUGCUUUUAUGCGGGGAUAAAGUGCACCACGUGUGGUGUUUUGUAGGUACCGCAUGAAUAAGGACCGGCUAAUUCCGUGCCAGCCGCCGC